ensembl:processed_transcript Gm11613 predicted gene 11613
GCCGGAGCCGAGCGGGGCGGAAGCGCGCGCCGUGCUGCUGCUCGGGCCCGACCGCGCCGGCCCCCGUACCUCCCGGCCCAGGCUGCGGGCUGCGGUCGGGGCGGUCCCGGGCCCAGGCGCCUGCCGCGGGACGCGCUUCCGCGAAGUCUGGCUCACGGGUUCCCGGAACGGGGCUAGAGAGAUGGCUCACCACUUCAGAGCUACUGACUGCUCUUCCAGAGGUCCUGAGUUCAAUUCCCAGAUACCACAUGAUGGCUCAUAACCAUCUGUAAUGGGAUCCAGUGCCCUCGUCUGGUAUGUCUGAAGACAGCUACAGUAUAUUCAUAUAAAUAAAAUAAGACCUGGAUUUUGUUUCUAACACCCAUAUGGUGGCUUACAGUGGCCUAUACCUCCAGUUCCAGGGGUCCAGUGUCUUCUUUUGUGCUUCAUGAGCACCUGAGAGCCGGUGUGUGUGCACACAGGCACGCAUGCACUCACACACACACAUACACAGUACAUCUAGAUACAUUCAGGCACAUGAACAGGUUAGCGGUGAUUGCUAUGGGAACUGUUCCAACUCCAGGAUGCAGAGCACUCUUCAGACAGCCACGGUGCUUUGAUUAGCUGGCUUCAUCUUCAUCUCCAUCCAGAAGUUUAAUUUCUAUGCAUUGAGAGGACUAAGAUGUAUAAUGUUCACCAGACAAGACCCUCCUGGGUCCCCACGAUUUCUGCUUGAUGUGUAUUUUUUAGAAAGAUUUAUUUAUUUUACGAAUAUGAGUAUACUGUCCUCAGACCCACCAGAAGAGGGCAUCAGAUCUCAUUACAGAUGGCUGUGAGCCACCAUGUGGUUGCUGGGAAUUGAACUCAGGACCUCUGGAAGAGCAGUCAGUGCUCUUAACCACUGAGCCAUCUCUCCAGCCCUUGAUAUGUAUUUUUUUUUCUUUUCAUUUCCUGUUGAGUUGUUGGCUCCACGGCCAUUAUUCCCUUUUGCAUGCUCUCCGUAAGUGCCCGUAAAUCUCUUUUGUCUAUAGUGUGGCAUCGACAGUUGACCACUGAAGGAAAUUUUUGCUUUGGAGUGGCUGAGCAUUCAUGGUGCCAGGUCCAUGGGCAUAAUUCAGUCUUGAUUCCACGGGAAACUGAGGACAAAGAACCAAAUGGUCUAUCAGUCCUCCUGUCACCAGGCUGCCAGCUCCUAGGCCAUUUAAGUAAAUAAAUCAGACCUCUCUCUGUUGGGUUCUGACCUGGGGACUCACGGAAGAUCAUCACAACCUCCUGGAAACUGUGAGCACAGAGAGCAGGAGGAGGGGCUGGGUGCUUGGUGCUUAAGAGUUCUUGCUCACUUUGCUCUUGGAGUGGACAUGAGUCUCAUUCCUGUACUCCCAUAGGAGCUCAUUACUGCCUGCAUCUCUGUCUCCCGGCAAUCUGAUGCCCUCUUGUGGCCGUUCAUGCCUCCUGAAUUUAUAGGGACAGGCAACCAUACAUAACACAUAAUUCAAAAUAAAUCCUCUUUUUCUUCUUGUUUUGUUCAGAUAGGAUUUCAGUGUGUACCUUAAGCUAUUCUGGUCUACAGAGUGAGUUCCAGGACAGCCAGGGCUACACAGAGAAACCCUGUCUCAAAAAAACCAAAAAAUAAAAUAAAAUAAAAUAAAAUAAAAUAGUAUGCUGAAGUGUGGCUCUUCACAGCUGAUGGCUCUGUUGGGGGUUGAGGGGAAGAAGGACCUGGUGCCACUACGAGUUUGACCAUUGAGCAUAUAGUAUAUACAGAACACAGAUUGAACUUGGGUGUUUGCUGUUGUUUUUGUUUUUGUUUUCUUUUUAGGGAGAGGGGAGGCCACAAGGAUCGGGAGGCAAACCUGGGAGGACUGGGAAGUGGAUAUCCUGGGGUGGGGGAGGGUAUGUGAGUCAAUAAAUAAUAAAUAAUAUAUUU